UGGAUCAAUGAUGACUACCCAUGGCGUAAGAGUCGUGUACGAUGAAUACGUGUCUGGAACUCUGAGGUCCAA
ensembl:snoRNA